AGUGAACGCUGGCGGUAGGCCUAACACAUGCAAGUCGAACGGCAGCACAGUAAGAGUUUGCUCUUACGGGUGGCGAGUGGCGGACGGGUGAGGAAUACAUCGGAAUCUACUUUUUCGUGGGGGAUAACGUAGGGAAACUUACGCUAAUACCGCAUACGACCUACGGGUGAAAGCAGGGGAUCUUCGGACCUUGCGCGAUUGAAUGAGCCGAUGUCGGAUUAGCUAGUUGGCGGGGUAAAGGCCCACCAAGGCGACGAUCCGUAGCUGGUCUGAGAGGAUGAUCAGCCACACUGGAACUGAGACACGGUCCAGACUCCUACGGGAGGCAGCAGUGGGGAAUAUUGGACAAUGGGCGCAAGCCUGAUGCAGCCAUACCGCGUGGGUGAAGAAGGCCUUCGGGUUGUAAAGCCCUUUUGUUGGGAAAGAAAAGCAGCAGGUUAAUACCCCGCUGUUUUGACGGUACCCAAAGAAUAAGCACCGGCUAACUUCGUG
rnacentral:rRNA from 1 species